CUUUACUGUAGCCUGGAAUUGGGUUCGGGCUUUAACUGCGCAGGAUAGGUGGGAGACUAUGAAACAUUCCUUGUGGGGAGUGUAGAGUCAACGGUGAGAUACCACUCUGUUAAAGCUAGAAUUCUAACCGAUAGCCGUUAUCCGGCAUCGGAACAGUUUCAGGUGGGCAGUUUGACUGGGGCGGUCGCCUCCUAAACGAUAACGGAGGCGCGCAAAGGUUCUCUCAGGCUGGUUGGAAAUCAGCCGUAGAGUGUAAAAGCAUAAGAGAGCUUGACUGUGAGACUGACAAGUCGAGCAGGGACGAAAGUCGGCUUUAGUGAUCCGACGGCACUGAGUGGAAGGGCCGUCGCUCAACGGAUAAAAGUUA
rnacentral:rRNA from 1 species